rnacentral:rRNA from 1 species
UACAGAGGGGGCAAGCGUUAUUCGGAAUUAUUGGGCGUAAAGGGCGCGUAGGCGGCUUGGCAAGUGGAAGGUGAAAUCCCUCGGCUUAACCGAGGAACUGCCUUCCAGACUGUUAGGCUUGAGACCGGGAGAGGUGAGUGGAAUUCCCAGUGUAGCUGGUCGGAAAAUGCGUAGAUAUUGGGAGGAACACCAGUGGCGAAGGCGGCUCACUGGGACGUUACUGACGCUGAGACGCGAAAGCGUGGGGAGCAAACAGG